UUUCCCAUUUUAGUCUCAGUCAUUCAGAUCAGGUAGAAUGACUGGCUAUGCUGAUGGGAGAGAGAAUUCCAGUCAUGGUCUGAAGGAAAGUCUGGCAGCAUUUCCUAGCUUUCCUGUAUGAAGUGACAGAACACUAAAUA
ensembl:snoRNA